rnacentral:ncRNA from 1 species
UCGCCGAGUAGAAGCGUUCAGCCCGCGCAGCGCGCGGCGCCCGGAAAUUGCUCAUGUC